CAGUCGCCGCGGGAAUACGUAGGGUGCGAGCGUUAAUCGGAAUUACUGGGCGUAAAGCGUGCGCAGGCGGUUUUGUAAGACAGAGGUGAAAUCCCCGGGCUCAACCUGGGAACUGCCUUUGUGACUGCAAGGCUAGAGUACGGCAGAGGGGGAUGGAAUUCCGCGUGUAGCAGUGAAAUGCGUAGAUAUGCGGAGGAACACCGAUGGCGAAGGCAAUCCCCUGGGCCUGUACUGACGCUCAUGCACGAAAGCGUGGGGAGCAAACAGGAUUAGAUACCCCAGUAGUCCCUGUCUCUUAUAA
rnacentral:rRNA from 1 species